GACGAACGCUGGCGGCGUGCUUAACACAUGCAAGUCGAGCGGAAAGGCCUUUCGGGGUACUCGAGCGGCGAACGGGUGAGUAACACGUGAGUAAUCUGCCCUGUGCUCUGGGAUAGCUUCGGGAAACCGAAAUUAAUACCGGAUAUGACGCCUUCCUGCAUGGGGGGGUGUGGAAAGUUUUUUCGGCGCAGGAUGUGCUCGCGGCCUAUCAGCUUGUUGGUGGGGUAAUGGCCUACCAAGGCUUCGACGGGUAGCCGGCCUGAGAGGGUGACCGGCCACACUGGGACUGAGACACGGCCCAGACUCCUACGGGAGGCAGCAGUGGGGAAUAUUGGACAAUGGGCGGAAGCCUGAUCCAGCAACGCCGCGUGAGGGAUGACGGCCUUCGGGUUGUAAACCUCUUUCAGCAUAGACGAAGCCGCGUCUUUUUGGGUGUGGUGACGGUAUGUGCAGAAGAAGGACCGGCCAACUACGUGCCAGCCGCCGCCGUAACAC
rnacentral:rRNA from 1 species